rnacentral:rRNA from 1 species
UACGGGGGGUGCGAGCGUUGUCCGGAAUCACUGGGCGUAAAGAGCUCGUAGGCGGCUCAUUGCGUCAACCGUGAAAUCCUGCUGCUCAACGGCAGGUCUGCGGUUGAUACGGGUGGGCUGGAGUUCGGUAGGGGAGACUGGAAUUCCUGGUGUAGCGGUGAAAUGCGCAGAUAUCAGGAGGAACACCUAUUGCGAAGGCAGCUCGCUGGGACGUAACUGACGCUGAGACGCGAAAGCGUGGGGAGCAAACAGG